rnacentral:rRNA from 1 species
GGUGAACGCUGGCGGUAGGCCUAACACAUGCAAGUCGAACGGCAGCACAGUAAGAGCUUGCUCUUACGGGUGGCGAGUGGCGGACGGGUGAGGAAUACAUCGGAAUCUACUUUUUCGUGGGGGAUAACGUAGGGAAACUUACGCUAAUACCGCAUACGACCUACGGGUGAAAGCAGGGGAUCUUCGGACCUUGCGCGAUUGAAUGAGCCGAUGUCGGAUUAGCUAGUUGGCGGGGUAAAGGCCCACCAAGGCGACGAUCCGUAGCUGGUCUGAGAGGAUGAUCAGCCACACUGGAACUGAGACACGGUCCAGACUCCUACGGGAGGAAGCAGUGGGGAAUUUUGGACAAUGGGCGCAAGCCUGAUCCAGCCAUACCGCGUGGGUGAAGAAGGCCUUCGGGUUGGAAAGCCCUUUUGUUGGGAAAGAAAAGCAGCAGGUUAAUACCCCGCUGUUCUGACGGUACCCAAAGAAUAAGCACCGGCUAACUUCGUG